AGUAAUUCCUAGGUAUUUGAAAUCCUCAUGCUUACACUUACUUACUCCUUCCUUCCAUUACACCCUUAAAAUUUUCCAACCUGUUUUCCAAUCUCUCUCUGUUGUCUGCCCGCCUGGGUCCAUCCUGUUUUUCUCGCUGAACCGUCCCUUCCCUAGGCACCAACUUGUUCCGCUACCAGUUUAGCUAGGAGGGUGGGCUUCUCAACUAGCCCCCACCCCUCCUGGUCUCUUCCCUUAAACAUUCCUACUCACAAGACUACCAGAGUCCUCCUUCGUGGGGCUUGCCACCUGGA